rnacentral:rRNA from 1 species
AGCGAACGCUGGCGGCAGGCUUAACACAUGCAAGUCGAGCGGGCAUCCUUGUGGUGUCAGCGGCAGACGGGUGAGUAACGCGUGGGAACGUGCCCUUCGGUUCGGAAUAACUCAGGGAAACUUGAGCUAAUACCGGAUACGUGCGAGAGCAGAAAGGUUUAUCUGCCGAAGGAUCGGCCCGCGUCUGAUUAGCUAGUUGGUGAGGUUAUGGCUCACCAAGGCGACGAUCAGUAGCUGGUCUGAGAGGAUGAUCAGCCACACUGGGACGGAGACACGGCCCCGAGUGCUACGGGAGGCAGCAGGGGGGGAUAGUGCACAAUGGGCGGAAGCCUGAUGCAGGAACUCCGGGUGCGGGAUGACGGCCGUCGGGUGGGAAAACGCUUGCGCCGGUGACGAAGCGGGAGGGAAGGGAAUGGGUAAAGAAGCAAGGGCUAACUAGGUG